UUCUGUCUGACUUCUCUAUUUCCAUCUCUUUCUCUGUGUGGUUGUCUUUUCUUUCUUUUUCUCCGGCUCUUUCGCUUUUUAAAAGAUGGGGUAAGAAUU
rnacentral:ribozyme from 1 species